UUGUUCAUUUGUGGAAGACUCAGAUAAUACAAAAAAACUAGAAUGGUUGGUUGGCCAGCGGCAGGCACCCCCCGGAGGGGGCGAGGCCCUGUCCCACAGGACUGCCUGCCGAAGCACGGUGGACGGGUAGGUAAACAAUGGGUUGGGAGUUUUCACUCUCGUAAUGAUCCCUCCGCUGGUUCACCAACGGAGA
rnacentral:misc_RNA from 1 species